AAAACACUAGGUGAUUCUUCCCAACUGUCCUAGCCGACAAAUUUACUUGGUACCUAUUGCUAGUGGGAGGUGGCAGGUAUCCCAUGGAAUUAGUCGUGGUGCGAAAGCUGGCCCAGACACCAUGGUCAUCAAAAAAAAUCCUACUAUCCUUGCACCCAAGGGGUGUGGCCUAGUGGUCAAUGAAGUGGUUGAGAAUCCUUAGGUCUCAGGUUCAAAACUUAGUGGAGACAAAAAACACUAGGUGAUUCUUCCCAACUGUCCUAGCCGACAAAUUUACUUGGUACCUAUUGCUAGUGGGAGGUGGCAGGUAUCCCAUGGAAUUAGUCGUGGUGCGAAAGCUGGCCCAGACACCAUGGUCAUCAAAAAAAAAAUCCUACUAUCCUUUCCUCCCAGGUAAUCCAUGAUCUAUCCAAUGGAAUAGACCUCCAUAGUUGUCUGAAUCUCUUAUUAGCCUUCUGUCCCAGCCAGCAAUUGGACAGCUGCUACAAAUUUCUUUGCAUCACCCAAUGAACUCCUCAGAAAUUUAGGAACAUGUGUCAUAUCUGCCAAUUGCAAUAAAUGAAAAGGCGACUGACUGAUUCUGUCGUCUGUUCACGCAUGCUACAUUUACCACAGAGAUUAAUUCCUCUGUUUUGCAAAUUAUCUUGAGUGAGGCGAGAAUCAUUUGUGGGAAUCCAUCCAAAACAAGCAAUUUUGUUGUUUCCGAAUUAUACUUCCAGGGCCAGUUUCAGUUCCCUGAAUUAUCUUGUCGAGUAGUUCAUAAUAGGAACUGUAUAUUCUCCAUCACUGCUGCUUUCCCAGAACAAGCUAUCUUAUUUGCCUUCAAUUAAA
rnacentral:lncRNA from 1 species